rnacentral:piRNA from 1 species
UCUGUGCUUUCCGGCAGUCUUAGGCAACCCU